UGAAAAUAAAUUAAUUUUUAUCGAUAGAAAAUAUAUUUUCCUAUAUACACAGUAAAUUGUGUAUUCAAUUGAGUAUGGAAGUAAUAAUUUAAUGUUUCCACGAUUUGAAAAUUUCAUUAUUGAGUUUAAUUAAAUUAUGUUGCCAAGGCAUUGACAAUUGUCAAAAAUGUUUAAGGUACUUUGAAUAUAUGCAUGGUAUUCUCAUGGCCAAUGUCGUCCCAACGACUUAUAAUUGACCUCAAUUACAACUCUAUAGCCGUCUAUUUGUUUAAACAUCAGAACAGUACGACAAAAUAAUUACUUUCCAUACUCAGUGAAUAUUAUUGUCAAUUUACCUAAACCAGUUGGUGCGUAUAAAAGCGAAUAAAAAAGCGUGUUCGGUUUUACUUAAUUUGAGCCAUAUAUUUUCUUUGUAAUUGUGAAAUAACUCAGUAAACUCGUAAAAUUUAUCACUUGCAGUUAUUUCAUAAUUAUUUAUCUUGAAGUAUAAACAUUUAUCAUGAAAAGACCAAGUUCCUCUUGUUUCCUCAAGAGUUAACGUUUUUAAUGUUAAUUCGCGGGCAAACAAGGUGUUUAAUGUUGUGUUUAUUCACUUGUGUUGAACACAAUGUUAAUUGUGCCAUGUUCUGUUUUCUUCUAUUGUUAUUUAAAUAAGUACAGUAUGCAGUGGUUGUUCUCUUUUUAUUGUUAUUCAAAUUGUAAAAUUACAAGUUCUUUUCAAUAAAUUGUUCAUUAAUUAUACAAGAGACUCCUUUUUAAUUAAAAAUUCAAUUCCCAUGGGAAUUGAAAAAAAAAAAUUUAAAAAAUCCCUCUACCCCGGCCGGCUCCCCAAGUGCUACCUCUACUUCAAGCAGAAGCAAAAGUACUUCUGCUUAAAGUAGAGGUAGCACUCGGAGAGCCAGCCGGGGUAGCGGGGCGAAGAGAAGACCAAACUUGCAAAUGCUAAUGCAAAUUGCUAAGUUGAUCUUCUCUUGAGAGCAGCCACGCGCAUACCUGACAAAUAUGUAAAACAACAAACGUUAGUAACAAAUACUUAGCAUGCAAAUUUGAAUCCCAUGGCCGAAAAUGACAAGUGCCCCCCACUGAUUCCUACCAACUAACUACCUGCCUCAGUCCUAAGCUGUCUUCCUCGGUCCUAAGCUAUCUGCCUCGUUCCUAAGCUACCUGCAUUCCAUUCGUAACUUCCGCUUUCCUCGCCAUCACACAGACACUCACAACUGCCCAACCCGCCACCAGCCCGAACUGCCGCCCUUCAAAAACUGAAGGAAUUAAAAUUUCGGUAAAGUAUACAUAAUUAAUUGAAUUAAUUCGGAUAUUUUAG
rnacentral:lncRNA from 1 species